UAAAAAAACACCGUGUUAAUAUUUGUGCUCAGAUUUAGUUUAAAAAUUUUAAUGUGUUGUACGUAAUCUAGAGUAUUUAAAAUGUUUGCAGUAGUGGACGAAGUCACAAAGCGAAAUAGUAAAAUGACAUAUAGCUUAGCCGCUAAAAUUGCUAAAGAAAUUCAUGAAGUAUUUCCUCUAAAACGUGAGUCAACCUAUUUUCAUAAGACAUUUUCAUAUAAAAGGACAUCAACCAGGUGGAAAAAUUUUUUAUAAAUUUUUUAAUCAAAAAAGAUCUUUACAUAGUUUAGGACUUGAGAGGAACCCUGAAAAUAAUGAAAUUUCCACAAAGAAAUGCAAUUUUUUAGAAACGAAUGGAGAAAUCUCUGAAUAUUUAAAAAUUUUAAAAGGUCCAACAUUAACUCACACAGAGCUUGAAGAAAUUUGGAAAAAAACUAGCAAUUAUAGGUUGACACAAAUAUCCGCCAUGACCUCAACUAAUGACAUUUUGAAAGAAUGGUUACAGUACAAAGAUUCAUUGGGAUAUAAACUGUUUGAUAUUGAUUUUUUAAACUUAUUUCCCAAUGCAAAAAAUGCACUGCAAGAUAUUUCAAGUUUUCAUUUGAAAAUGAGAGAAAUAUUCACAGAGAGAAUAAAAGACGAAAAUUCAAAGGAACUAAUCGAAGUUCUGCAAAAUUACGAAAACUUUUUUUGAAAAUGGUAUAACUCUCACAACAAUGUAUUUACUGCAUAAUAUUGUCAGACCCACUGGACAUGUGACAACUGUGGAUAAAGGAAAAAAAAUUUCACCAUUCGAGACUCACAAAAUGCCUUCGUAAUUAUAGGAAGAACAGCUCAAAAUGUUGAAGAUUUAAUUCAAGAAAAAAUUCAAUCUCAAGAUUCUAUUCAACCUCUCCUGCUUGUUCAAGGUUGUAUCUCUAAUCCAGAGGCAAUAUUAGUUUACUUCGAUGGAAUAAGAUACAAAAUGUAUUCCAUAGCAAAAGCAGUAGAUACAUGUUUUAAAAUUUUUUACAUUUUUAAUUUAAAAUUUACAAUUCAAGCCAAUUUGUUUUGGAGGUUCGUCGCCAAUUUUUUUAUGGAAUAUGUAACAACACUAAUCAUUCAUCAGUUAAUAUUCUAAUUGAUGAAAUAAAUCAAAGUAGUAUUACUGAAAAAUAAUAUUUUAGCAUUGUGUAAUAUCUGCUAUGAUUUUUGUUAAAAUUUUCUAAAC